GUGCUCCUACGGGGGGCAGCAGUGGGGAAUAUUGGGCAAUGGGCGCAAGCCUGACCCAGCAACGCCGCGUGAGGGAAGAAGGCUUUCGGGUUGUAGACUUCUUUUCUCAGGGACGAAGCAAGUGACGGUACCUGAGGAAUAAGCCACGGCUAACUACGUGCCAGCAGCCGCGGUAAUACGUAGGUGGCAAGCGUUAUCCGGAUUUAUUGGGUGUAAAGGGCGUGUAGGCGGGAAAGCAAGUCAGAUGUGAAAACCACGGGCUCAACCUGUGGCCUGCAUUUGAAACUGUUUUUCUUGAGUACUGG
rnacentral:rRNA from 1 species